rnacentral:piRNA from 1 species
UGCUAACAGAGAGUGAGCAGUGCAGC